rnacentral:rRNA from 1 species
UACGGGGGGGGUAAGCGUUGUUCGGAAUUACUGGGCGUAAAGCGUGCGUAGGUGGUGAGUUAAGUCUGUCGUGAAAGCCCCGGGCUCAACCUGGGAAUGGCGAUGGAUACUGGCUCGCUAGAGUGCGGUAGAGGAGAGUGGAAUUCCCGGUGUAGCAGUGAAAUGCGUAGAGAUCGGGAGGAACAUCAGUUGCGAAGGCGGCUCUCUGGACCAGCACUGACACUGAGGCACGAAAGCGUGGGGAGCAAACAGG